rnacentral:tRNA from 1 species
GGCGUGGUGGCAGAGUGGUCUAAUGCCGCGGAUUGCAAAUCCGUCGUCUCGCGGGUUCGAAUCCCGCCCACGCCUCCA